rnacentral:rRNA from 1 species
AUUGCCUUAGUAACGGCGAGUGAAGCGGCAACAGCUCAAAUUUGAAAUCUGGCGUCUUUGGCGUCCGAGUUGUAAUUUGCAGAGGGCGCUUUGGCAUUGGCAGCGGUCCAAGUUCCUUGGAACAGGACGUCACAGAGGGUGAGAAUCCCGUACGUGGUCGCUAGCCUUUACCGUGUAAAGCCCCUUCGACGAGUCGAGUUGUUUGGGAAUGCAGCUCUAAAUGGGAGGUAAAUUUCUUCUAAAGCUAAAUACUGGCCAGAGACCGAUAGCGCACAAGUAGAGUGAUCGAAAGAUGAAAAGCACUUUGGAAAGAGAGUUAAAAAGCACGUGAAAUUGUUGAAAGGGAAGCGCUUGCAGCCAGACUUGCUUGUAGUUGCUCAUCCGGGUUUUUACCCGGUGCACUCUUCUAUAAGCAGGCCAGCAUCAGUUUGGGCGGUUGGAUAAAGGUCUCUGUCAUGUACCUCUCUUCGGGGAGAACUUAUAGGGGAGACGACAUGCAACCAGCCUGGACUGAGGUCCGCGCAUCUGCUAGGAUGCUGGCGUAAUGGCUGUAAGCGGCCCGUCUUGAAACACGGACCAAGGAGUCUAACAUCUAUGCGAGUGUUUGGGUGUCAAGCCCGAGCGCGUAAUGAAAGUGAACGGAGGUGGGAACCCCUCGGGGUGCACCAUCGACCGAUCCUGAUGUCUUCGGAUGGAUUUGAGUAAGAGCAUAGCUGUUGGGACCCGAAAGAUGGUGAACUAUGCUUGAAUAGGGUGAAGCCAGAGGAAACUCUGGUGGAGGCUCGCAGCGGUUCUGACGUGCAAAUCGAUCGUCAAAUUUGGGCAUAGGGGCGAAAGACUAAUCGA